GAUGGUAAAUAAAUUUAUAAAAUUAUAGUAUAGUAUGCAUUAAUUAUUUCCAUCCCAUGCCUCUUCCUUAUCCCAUUACACCACCUUCCUUUCACCUUUCCAUCGAAGAUGGUGAUCGGCUUCAGCAACUACGACGAAUGCUCCGGCAACUCCGGUGACCAGUCUAACAACCUCUCUGGUGACUGUUUCGACAAUAGAAAAAUCUUCAAAAAUUGAAAACAAUUUCUCUCUUCUUACUCCACUAUAGAAAAAUCUCCAAAAAUUUAUAUGUGACCAAAUUUAUUAUUUGUGACCAUACUAUCCAAAUUUUUUUUCAAGCCACUGACAUAUGUUAUCUGUGACUAAUUGUGACCAAAUUUGUGUUCAAUGUGACUAAUUGUGACAAAUUUGUAUUCAAUGUAAUUGCUUGUGACCAAAUUUGUAUUAACUAUGACAGUAUGUGAUAAAGUUACAAUCGAUCACAAUCAACACAAAAUUUGUCACAAUUUUCACAAUAAACACAUAUUUGUCACAAAGAGUCAACACAAACAAAUCUUCACACACCGUAGACUAGUACCAAUCCACCAGCAGUCACUACAACCUUUACCUCCAACACUACAUUCACUUUCGUUAUCUAUGACUAAUUGUGACCAACUUUGUCUUCAUUGUAACUGUCUGUGACCAGAACUAUAUUAAAUGUGAUUGUAUGUGACUUGUUUACAUACAAUCACAAGUUAGAUUGAUAUAUUUUAAGUCAUAGGCAGUCACAAUGAUGAUAGAUUUGGUCAUACCUAAUUUUCAUCGGUACACCGCCACUUUCAACAACAUCAACCAAAUAUGCAUCCACAACACACACACACACACCACCCCCGUAUCCAACCACGCAAUAUCACCGCCACCACCACUAACCAAAUCUGAAUCCACCAACCCACCACACUCCAGAUCCAUACAAUUCGUCAAACACUACUACACACUAACAGUGUUAUCACCACAACAACCACACCCACUACCACCAUAUCCAACCACACCACUAUCUCACCACCACCGUCACACCCAAAAACCGCAACUGCACACAAAAAAAAAAAACUUACCCCAAAUUUUUUGGCACCAGAUCGUAACCAAAUUUUCCUAAAUCACGACCAACAAAACUCCCCCCACUAAACAAAACUCUAGCACCAGAUUGUAACAAAAUCUCCAUAGAUCUCCCAUCAUUUGUCGCUGCAGUAGGGAAGCUCACAUCACUUGCAAAACCAUGCUCCAAUAGCAAUUUCCUUUCAUCAGCAACCACCUUUGAUAUCGGUGGCCAUUCCCACCACUGUCAACUUCUCAUUAGCACCCAAGCAGCAACUGUACACCGCAAAUCUUCAGAGGACGCAGCUAAUAGCCUAUAGUUCAACAUGUUCGACGUUUCCCAUAUCAAAUUAAAAAUAAAAUGGAGGAAAAGCAAAGAGAUCUAAUAUAUUCACCAAUAAAAACCAAAACUAGACCAACAUUGAAAAUAACAAAACAAAUAAUAAUGAUAAAAAAAAAACUUUUGUAUGUGUUUCAGAAAGAGAGAGAUAAAUGGUAAGUAAAAAUCUGAAGAAAGUGGGUUAGAGGGAAAUUAGUGGAGAGAUGAGAGAAACUUGGUCCAUGUGCUUGAAGGCCUCGUAAGUGCCUACACGAUGGUCAUUGUUGCGGAAGAGAAGACAGUAGAGAAGGUUGAGGAGAGAGAAAGAUUAAUUUGAGUGCGUG
rnacentral:lncRNA from 1 species